rnacentral:SRP_RNA from 1 species
GGAGGCUGGCGGCGGACAGGUCCCUCGCCAACCCGGUCAGAUCCGGAAGGAAGCAGCCGUAACGAGUUUCGGCCUGGGUCGUUCGUUCAGUCUCCCAC